rnacentral:rRNA from 1 species
UACAGAGGUGGCAAGCGUUGUUCGGAAUUACUGGGCGUAAAGGGCGCGUAGGUGGCCUUUUGAGUCAGACGUGAAAUCCCCCGGCUUAACCUGGGAACUGCGUCUGAUACUGGAAGGCUUGAGUUCGGGAGAGGGAUGUGGAAUUCCAGGUGUAGCGGUGAAAUGCGUAGAUAUCAGGAGGAACACCAAUUGCGAAGGCAGCUCGCUGGGACGUUACUGACGCUGAGACGCGAAAGCGUGGGGAGCAAACAGG